AGAUACCCACAAAUGAGGAGCCUGCCUUAUUCCCUGCCCAUAAGCCUCAGGACUGCCUCAGUGUUUCAUUCCUUUGCUCAACUCACUAAGGAAGAAUAAGCGAACAUUCCAAGGACAAUGACAAAGCAGAGCCCCAUCAAGAUACCAAACCUACACUUCAGCUAAUGUGAAGUUCUAUUUUCCUCAGGAAAAAGGAGUUUUCUAGGAGACCUCCUGGCUGGCUCUGACAAAGCAAGGUGCCAUGUUGUAAACUGCCUAUGGAGAAGGCCACGUGGAAAGGAACAGCUGACAGACAGCAAAGAACUGAGGUUCUCAGGAAAACAGCCUGCAAGGACCUGAAUUCUGCCAGCAACCACGUGAGACUGGAAACUGAUCCUUACCAGUUGAGCUUUCAAAUGAGACUCAAGCCCUGGCUGACCCCUUGAUUGCAGUCUUGUGAGAGAUCACGAAGCAAUGGAUUCUGUUACAUUCUGACCCACAGAAACUGUGAGAUAAUAAAUGUGUUGUUUUAAGGCACCAAGUUCAUGGUAAUUGGUUACACAGCAAUAGAUAACUAAUACUACUCAGUAACCCAGACUUCAAUAAGAAUAUAGUCAAGGGGUCUUCCCUGGUAGUCCAGUGGUAAAGAACCCGCCUCCCAGUGCAGGGGACGCAGGUUUGAUCCCUGGUUGGGGAACUAAGA